rnacentral:rRNA from 1 species
AGAGUUGAUCUGGCUCAGGAUGAACGCUGGCGGCGUGCCUAACACAUGCAAGUCGAACGAAGCACUUCUGGUUGAGAUUCGUCAAGAACUGGAUUUGACUUAGUGGCGGACGGGUGAGUAAUGUAUGAGCAACCUGCCUUUCAGAGGGGGACAACAGUUGGAAACGACUGCUAAUACCGCAUAACGUAUUUUAGGGGCAUCCCUGGGAUACCAAAGGAGCAAUCCGCUGAAAGAUGGGCUCAUAUCUGAUUAGUUAGUUGGCAGGGUAACGGCCUACCAAGACUGCGAUCAGUAGCCGGACUGAGAGGUUGAACGGCCACAUUGGGACUGAGAUACGGCCCAGACUCCUACGGGAGGCAGCAGUGGGGAAUAUUGGGCAAUGGGCGAAAGCCUGAACCCCAGCAACGCCGCGUGAAGGAAGAAGGUCUUCGGAUUGUAAACUUCUUUUAUGAGGGACGAAGGACGUGACGGUACCUCAUGAAUAAGCCACGGCUAACUACGUGCCAGCAGCUGC